rnacentral:rRNA from 1 species
AGCGAACGCUGGCGGUAGGCCUAACACAUGCAAGUCGAACGGCAGCACAGUAAGAGCUUGCUCUUACGGGUGGCGAGUGGCGGACGGGUGAGGUAUACAUCGGAAUCUACUUUUUCGUGGGGGAUAACGUAGGGAAACUUACGCUAAUACCGCAUACGACCUACGGGUGAAAGCAGGGGAUCUUCGGACCUUGCGCGAUUGAAUGCGCCGAUGUCGGAUUAGCUAGUUGGCGGGGUAAAGGCCCACCAAGGCGACGAUCCGUAGCUGGUCUGAGAGGAUGAGCAGCCACACUAGAACUGAGGCACGGACCGGACUCCUGAGGGAGGCAGCAGUGGGGAAUAUGGGACAAUGGGCGCAAGCCUGAUCCAGCCAUACCGCGUGGGUGAAGAAGGCCUUCGGGUUGUAAAGCCCUUUUGUUGGGAAAGAAAAGCAGCAGGUUAAUACCCCGCUGUUCUGACGGUACCCAAAGAAUAAGCACCGGCUAACUUCGUG